rnacentral:rRNA from 2 species
ACGACUCUCGGCAACGGAUAUCUCGGCUCUCGCAUCGAUGAAGAACGUAGCGAAAUGCGAUACUUGGUGUGAAUUGCAGAAUCCCGCGAACCAUCGAGUCUUUGAACGCAAGUUGCGCCCGAGGCCACCCGGCCGAGGGCACGCCUGCCUGGGCGUCACGCACCUUGCC